GUGAGGAAUAUUGGUCAAUGGGCGAGAGCCUGAACCAGCCAAGUCGCGUGAAGGAAGAAGGAUCUAUGGUUCGUAAACUUCUUUUGCAGGGGAAUAAAGUGCGGGACGUGUCCUGUUUUGUAUGUACCCUGAGAAUAAGGAUCGGCUAACUCCGUGCCAGCAGCCGCGGUAAUACGGAGGAUCCGAGCGUUAUCCGGAUUUAUUGGGUUUAAAGGGUGCGUAGGUGGUUUGAUAAGUCAGCGGUGAAAGUUUGCAGCUUAACUGUAAAAAUGCCGUUGAAACUGUCGGACUUGAGUGUAAAUGAGGUAGGCGGAAUGCGUGGUGUAGCGGUGAAAUGCAUAGAUAUCACGCAGAACUCCGAUUGCGAAGGCAGCUUACUAAGCUACAACUGACACUGAAGCACGAAAGCGUGGGGAUCAAACAGGAUUAGAUACCCGAGUAGUCC
rnacentral:rRNA from 1 species